rnacentral:rRNA from 1 species
AUUGAACGCUGGCGGCAUGCUUUACACAUGCAAGUCGAACGGCAGCGCGGGCUUCGGCCUGGCGGCGAGUGGCGAACGGGUGAGUAAUACAUCGGAACGUGCCCAGUAGUGGGGGAUAGCUCGGCGAAAGCCGGAUUAAUACCGCAUACGACCUGAGGGUGAAAGCGGGGGAUCUUCGGACCUCGCGCUAUUGGAGCGGCCGAUGGCAGAUUAGCUAGUUGGUGGGGUAAAGGCCUACCAAGGCGACGACCUGUAGCUGGUCUGAGAGGACGACCAGCCACACUGGGACUGAGACACGGCCCAGGCUCCUACGGGAGGCAGCAGUGGGGAAUUUUGGACAAUGGGCGAAAGCCUGAUCCAGCAAUGCCGCGUGUGUGAUGAAGGCCUUCGGGUUGUAAAGCACUUUUGGCGGGAACGAAAAGGACUGUGCCAAUACCACGGUUCGAUGACGGUACCCGCAGAAUAAGCACCGGCUAACUACGUG